GUAAGGGCCAUCGGGUGAGGCGUCCUCCCAAGGGGAGGACCGGGAAGCCGGUGAGAAUCCGGCGCGGACCCGCCACUGUGACCGGGGACGAAAGCGGUCCAAGAGGCCACCGGCGCUCAGCCGCCGGGAAGGCCGCCGCGAGUAGGGCGAUCCGGGAGCCAGGAGACCGGCCUCACCCGCCGCAUGCAC
rnacentral:ncRNA from 2 species